rnacentral:rRNA from 1 species
AAGUCGUAACAAGGUCUCCGUUGGUGAACCAGCGGAGGGAUCAUUAACGAGUUUAUCCAACUCCCAAACCCUAUGUGAACCUUACCACUUGUUGCUUCGGCGGAGUCGCGCCGGUGCCGCCUAGGCGGCCCGGGACCACGCGCCCGCCGGAGACCAAAAACUCUUGAUUUUGCGAAAGCAGUAUUUUUCUGAGUGGCCGAAAGGCAAAAACAAAUGAAUCAAAACUUUCAACAACGGAUCUCUUGGUUCUGGCAUCGAUGAAGAACGCAGCAAAAUGCGAUAAGUAAUGUGAAUUGCAGAAUUCAGUGAAUCAUCGAAUCUUUGAACGCACAUUGCGCCCGCCAGCAUUCUGGCGGGCAUGCCUGUUCGAGCGUCAUUUCAACCCUCGAUCCCAGCCUUUGCGGGCUGCGGACCGGUGUUGGGGCGCGGCGGAGACUCUUGUCUGCGCCGGCUCCGAAAUUCAGUGGCGGCCCGUUGCGGCGACCUCUGCGUAGUAACUUAACCUCGCACUGGGACAGCAGCGCGGCCACGCCGUAAAACCCCCGACUUUUUUAAGGUUGACCUCGAAUCAGGUAGGACUACCCGCUGAACUUAAGCAUAUCAAUAAGCGGAGGAAAAGAAACCAACAGGGAUUGCCCCAGUAACGGCGAGUGAAGCGGCAACAGCUCAAAUUUGAAAUCUGGCUCCUAGAGCCCGAGUUGUAAUUUGUAGAGGAUGCUUUUGAUGCGGUGCCUUCCGAGUUCCCUGGAACGGGACGCCAUAGAGGGUGAGAGCCCCGUCUGGUCGGAUGCCAAAUCUCUGUAAAGCUCCUUCGACGAGUCGAGUAGUUUGGGAAUGCUGCUCUAAAUGGGAGGUAUAUGUCUUCUAAAGCUAAAUAUUGGCCAGAGACCGAUAGCGCACAAGUAGAGUGAUCGAAAGAUGAAAAGCACUUUGAAAAGAGGGUUAAAAAGUACGUGAAAUUGUUGAAAGGGAAGCGUCUAUGACCAGACUUGGGCCCGGUGAAUCAUCCAGCGUUCUCGCUGGUGCACUUUGCCGGGCACAGGCCAGCAUCAGUUUGUCUUGGGGGAUAAAGGCUUUGGGAACGUGGCUCCUUCGGGAGUGUUAUAGACCAUUGCAUAAUACCCUGGGACGGACUGAGGUUCGCGCAUCUGCAAGGAUGCUGGCGUAAUGGUCAUCAGCGACC